rnacentral:pre_miRNA from 1 species
AGUGGAAUUGCAGGGCCAUGUGGUAUUUCUGUUUAAUUUUGAUGAAACUACCAAAUUAUUUUCCAAAGUAGCUGCACCAUUUUACAUUCUCACAACCAGU